GGGUGUGUCGUUCAUCGGUAGGACGGUACUCUUAUAAAGUAUCAAGGAUGGUUCGACUCCAUCCACACCCA
rnacentral:tRNA from 1 species